GUCGUCAGCGCAGACUGCUGGAUGUUUUCUGGAAACCACAGCUUCAGCCGAACACUACUGGUCACCCCAAGCAUUACGUGACUGAAGAGAAGAAUCUUGGCAACCAGCAGAAGAACUUCAAAGUGGAACAAGAAGAACCAGAACCUCCACAGAUUAAAGAAAAACAAGAUAAGCUUGAUGUAAACUUGGAGACUGGUACCUCGAUGGAGACUCCUACCAAUGAAGAAAAAGACCACAGUGAACCUGAUCAAAACAAUCAGCAUAGCUUCAUUGUAACUGAUAGUAAAAGUGAAGAAGGAAGCCAGCACGAUGAAUCAACAUCAACUGCAGAUGAAGUCACAGACACACAGAUCAGAUAUCAGAAGAAGAGAAGAAACAGAAGUCAUGUCCAAAGUGUGGCCAGCUCUCACAUGUCAGAAGGUCAGUCUGACUCUGAUAUUAAAAAAACAUCGGUGAAGAAAGGUUUUCCAAAACUUGGCAAUGAACAGUCUGAUAAAAGCUCAAUAACUGUAAAAAAUCUCCAAAUGACCACUGAGGCUAGUAAGACACAAUAUGUCUGUGAAGAAUGUGGUAAAAGUUUUAGUUCCUGGUCUAAGAUCACACUUCAUUGGAGAGGUCAUACAGGAGAGAAGCCCUUUUCUUGUAAGGCAUGUAAUAAAAGUUUUAGUCGCACAUCUAGUCUCAAGAGACAUAUACAAACUCACACAAGAGAGAAACCUUUUUCUUGUAAAGAAUGUGAUAAACGUUUCAGUUGCAAAUCGUAUCUCAAAAGACACACAAGAACUCAUGCAAGAAAAAAACACAUUUUCACAUCAGGAAUUUAAUACAAUGUUGAUACAAAAAAUCUAGUCACAUGAGGUAUUCACUUGGGAGAGUUGCUUUUUUUUGUCAUAAAGUGUCAGAAAACUUAAGACUUGUGCAGUUAAAGACAAAAAGAGUUUGUGUUGCAGAGGGGAAAUUAUGAAAAAGUAAAGCAUAUACAUUGAAUAUGAACCAUAUGAAUGCUUUCUGCCUUAUUUUCCCUCGAUUUAAUAGUUUUCUUUUAGAGGUAUCUAAAACUCAAAAUUCAUUGUCUUAGAAGAUUUGAAUAUUUGAAAUAUUGCAAUGUUGAAAACUCCAGGAAUCUCAUACUGAACCACUCUUUUUUUUUUAGCCUUUUUAAUUGUCUCUCACUCAUGAGAAUACAAGCACCUCACACUGGCCUUUGCUGUCAAGCUAGGUGGAGCCGUUGAUUUUAUUUUCCGGCCUGCACCUUCCCACACUGUUAGAAAUGCUUUAAUGACCGUUGUGUUACUGUUUUUGAUCAGCCAACGAAGUCCCUUGAAAUGAACCCAAUUUAAAACAAAUCUAGAACUGUUAUCACAUGGAAGACUAUAUUCCAGAACCAACAAUGAGAAUGACCUGAAGUCAGCUUUCAAAGCAACCUGAGGUCUCAUGACAUGUAUGCAGAGACACAGGCUGAUGGCCUCCAAACCUCGGCGCAUUGAUCCAAUUAGAAAACUCCAAGCGAGUAUUAAAUGCAACAUCCGUACUCUACUGUUCUAAAUUUUUAAUUUUCUAGGAGAGACAUUUUUAGAUAUUAUUCAUCUCUUGGCUACAAUUAUCAACAUCCAAGGAAUAUGAGGUUUGGAUACAGAGUUUUACUCUUUCCUUUUUUGAAUUAAUUACAUUUUUUUGGGUAAGUUAAUGGUUUUACACGUACAUAGAGACCUAUUGUUUUGCCAUUGUUAAAUCUUUUGACUUACACCAUUAUUUUUAGUCAUUUAAUUUUUUUCCCCUUUAUUUGUAUUUGUUUGAGCAAACAUUUAAAAUUACCGUUGAAUUUUUGUUGGUUGCUGUUUAUUACUUGAAUUUUGUGUUUUCAUUUCUUGUUUAGUUUUUUCGUUCACCAUUGUAUUUGUAGGCAUGUCAUGCAAGUCUGUGUGUUACCAUGACAACACUGGCAAUGCAUUUUAUACAUUGUUAAUUCUAACAAUGUAUUUUCUGUUUUAUGUUGUCAGUGUACAUUUUGUUUUCUUUAGCCGUAGAUAUACUUGUAUAUUAGUUUUUUUCCAUACAAAAAGUGGUGAUUGCUGUUUAUUUCAUGUUGAGUCAUGUAUCAGGUUCUCAUUCAUCCAGGAGGCAUUUUUCAUGGAAGGAAUGACACAUAAAUAUAUGGUUGGAGUCAACUGGACCCCAAAGAGAGCGGAAGGGUUAAAAUAAUCUUCUACCUCAAAAAUGUUAAAUUGCUCAUCCAAGUGGCUUUACCAGUUACGUCAUGUGAGCAAAAAUCUGUAUUGCGAGUUUUCCAGUGUUGUGGUAUAGUAGUAGUAGCUAAUGAAGAAACAGAUUUGUCCCUCUUAGUUUUCAGUGUUCUGUCUUUACUGUAAAGAAUAAAAAUGACGUAAAGAUCAGCCAAAA